rnacentral:lncRNA from 1 species
CAAGAGGAGAACACAGCUCUCCCCACCGUCCCUGCCACAGCGGGUUUGGAAAGACAGGGCCUUCCAUGCCUGCCCAUAACCUUCAGGGUGGCCGUUAUCUCAGGAGAGAGAAGUGAAGAAUGAGUGGAAUCUUGCACUUCUGCAUCCAAAUGAUCACCCAUCAGUACAUUCUGAUUCAAAUAUAAAGUGAAAAAGAUAAAAUCUGUGGAGAAGCUGCGUUCCUGGAGGCUCACCGUUCAUGUAGACCUACUCAUUCCCCCGAGCAUGCUGAGUCCAGCCUUGCAGAUAAAGAAUUUAACCCAGAAAGAAAAGCAAAAAAUACAGCUUCUGUGAUCUUGCAAUUGGUACCCACGUUUGACUAAAUGUGUUGUGGAAGAA